GUCUCUGUGGCGCAGUCGGUUAGCGCGUUCGGCUGUUGACCGAAAGUUUAUUGUUUCGAGCCCACCCAGGGACG